GUGCUGGCUUGAGCAGCACAUACAUUAAACUUGAACAACGCAGAGAAGAUUAGUGUGCCCCUGCGUAAGGAUGACACACAAACUCGUGAGGCGUUCCAUAUUUUU